rnacentral:rRNA from 1 species
GACGAACGCUGGCGGCGUGCUUAACAUAUGCAAGUCGAACGGAAAGGCCCUGCUUUUGUGGGGUGCUCGAGUGGCGAACGGGUGAGUAACACGUGAGUAACCUGCCCUUGACUUUGGGAUAACUUCAGGAAACUGGGGCUAAUACCGGAUAGGAGCUCCUGCUGCAUGGUGGGGGUUGGAAAGUUUCGGCGGUUGGGGAUGGACUCGCGGCUUAUCAGCUUGUUGGUGGGGUAGUGGCUUACCAAGGCUUUGACGGGUAGCCGGCCUGAGAGGGUGACCGGCCACAUUGGGACUGAGAUACGGCCCAGACUCCUACGGGAGGCAGCAGUGGGGAAUAUUGCACAAUGGGCGGAAGCCUGAUGCAGCAACGCCGCGUGCGGGAUGACGGCCUUCGGGUUGUAAACCGCUUUCGCCUGCGACGAAGCGUGAGUGACGGUAAUGGGUAAAGAAGCACCGGCUAACUACGUG